UGCGUAGGUGGCUAUUUAAGUCGGAUGUGAAAGCCCGGGGCUCAACCUCGGAAUUGCAUUCGAUACUGAGUGGCUAGAGUUCGGUAGAGGGCGGCGGAAUUUCCGGUGUAGCGGUGAAAUGCGUAGAUAUCGGAAGGAACAUCAAUGGCGAAGGCAGCCGCCUGGGCCUGGACUGACACUGAGGCACGAAAGCGUGGGUAGCAAACAGGAUUAGAUACCCUGGUAGUCCACGCCGUAAACGAUGAGAACUUGACGUUGGUUCGUUUUACGAAUCGGUGUCGCAGCUAACGCGAUAAGUUCUCCGCCUGGGGAGUACGGCCGCAAGGUUGAA
rnacentral:rRNA from 1 species